AUGAAGUUCUCUGAGGAAGAAGUCACCUUGCACCUGCGCAUUCUCGGAGGUGAUGAACGGACGGUUGCGCCGGCACGGCAGUCUUCCAUCUUCGCGCUCACGUUGGACGGGCUGCAAUACUCGGUGUGUGAGGCAGGUCGCAACUUUGGGUCCAUGAACAUGGACGAGUUCACGAGCAACAUAUGGAAUGCCAAGGAGUUCCAAGCGGCGACCGGCGGUGUCUUGGUGGGCAUGGAGGUGGCUCCUGUUGUGGGUGCUGGUGGAGGCGGAGGUAGCGAAGAUGCAGGAGGAAGCAAGCUAGCCUGGCACGAGUCGUUCUCCUUGCCUCCCCCGCUGUGCCGGAAGACGGUGGAGGAGGUGUGGGCUAAGAUCAACAGGGAGCCCCACCCAGUGCAUUCCCGGCCCUCGCCGCAGAUUCCCGUCCAGCCACCACCGGGCAACGGUGGUGCGGUUGCGGCGAACGACCAGCAGGGGACGUUUGGAGAGAUGACGCUGGAGCAGUUCCUUGUCAAGGCCGGCGUGGUCCGGGGAUCUGGCACCGACGGCCAGGCGCAUGUGCCGGUCGGCAUGGUCCAUGGACAGAUGAACCCUGUGCAGCAGGGGCAGCAGCCUGGCCCAAUGAUGUACCCGAUGGCACCGGCCAACGACACGUUCCUGGUGAUGGGCGACGACAUGGGGUUCAUCCCCAACGGGUACGCAGGGAUGGUCGUGGUGCCGCCGCCACCACCUCCUCAAGGUGCGGUGGGUAUCAUGAGCCCAGGGUCAUCGGACGGGAGGAGCUCCAUGACACAGGUUGACAUGAUGAACUGCAUGGGCGACGGAGCGAUGAUGGAGAACGGCGGCGCCCGGAAGCGCGGCGCUCCGGAGGAUCAGUCCUGUGAGAGUAGUAAUGAGCACCACCACCGCCGCAUGAUCAAGAACCAUGAGUCAGCCGCACAAUCGUGCGCCAGGAAACAGGCUUAUACCGUGGAGCUUGAAACCGAACUGAACCACCUCAAGGAGGAGAACGCUUGCCUCAAAGCUGAGGAGAAGACGAUUUUGCUGACCAAGAAACAAAUGCUAGUGGAGAAGAUGAUGGAGCGGUCCAAGGAGAAUGUGAACGCGAAGAAGGGUGGCGCCCUGUCGCGGCGCUGCGGCAGCUGCAUCUGGUGA
rnacentral:rRNA from 1 species